rnacentral:rRNA from 1 species
AAUGGGCGCAAGCCUGACCCAGCAACGCCGCGUGAGGGAAGAAGGUUUUCGGAUUGUAAACCUCUGUCGCAGGGGACGAAGGAAGUGACGGUACCCUGUAAGAAAGCCCCGGCUAACUACGUGCCAGCAGCCGCGGUAAUACGUAGGGGGCGAGCGUUGUCCGGAAUUACUGGGCGUAAAGGGAGCGUAGGCGGUCGAUUAAGUUAGAUGUGAAACCCCCGGGCUUAACUUGGGGACUGCAUCUAAUACUGGUUGACUUAGAGUACAGGAGAGGGAAGCGGAAUUCCUAGUGUAGCGGUGAAAUGCGUAGAUAUUAGGAGGAACACCAGUGGCGAAGGCGGCUUUCUGGACUGACACUGACGCUGAGGCUCGAAAGCGUGGGGAGCAAA